GACAACAUAUCUGCCGGUGUACUAGAAUUCCUCAGUUGUAUCAAGAAAACCAAAAUUAAAACUGCUAUGUAAAAUCUCCAGAUAUUUGUGUAAAUUGAUUCUGACAUGUGCUAUUAUGAAAAAGGAGUUUCUUUGUUGGAUAGCAACCCAUGAUGGUGGUUUCAGAUAUGAAGCUAAGAAAAACGCGCCUCAUAAUUCAUUGGAUGUAAACCAAUAGGGUCAAUUAGAUAUCGUUGGCUGUAAAUGACAUGAGUAUUUAGCUUUCAUAAAAUCUACUUCCUCC